rnacentral:rRNA from 1 species
UACGUAGGUGGCAAGCGUUGUCCGGAAUUAUUGGGCGUAAAGCGCGCGCAGGCGGUCCUUUAAGUCUGAUGUGAAAGCCCACGGCUCAACCGUGGAGGGUCAUUGGAAACUGGGGGACUUGAGUGCAGAAGAGGAAAGCGGAAUUCCACGUGUAGCGGUGAAAUGCGUAGAUAUCAGGAGGAACACCCGUGGCGAAGGCGGCUCUCUGGAUCGACCCUGACGCUGAGGCGCGAAAGCGUGGGGAGCGAACGGG